rnacentral:rRNA from 1 species
GAGUUUGAUCGUGGCUCAGAGCGAACGCUGGCGGCAGGCUUAACACAUGCAAGUCGAGCGGGCGUAGCAAUACGUCAGCGGCAGACGGGUGAGUAACACGUGGGAACGUACCUUUUGGUUCGGAACGACUGAGGGAAACUUCAGCUAAUACCGGAUAAGCCCUAACGGGGAAAGAUUUAUCGCCGAAAGAUCGGCCCGCGUCUGAUUAGCUAGUUGGUGAGGUAAUGGCUCACCAAGGCGACGAUCAGUAGCUGGUCUGAGAGGAUGAUCAGCCACACUGGGACUGAGACACGGCCCAGACUCCUACGGGAGGCAGCAGUGGGGAAUAUUGGACAAUGGGGGCAACCCUGAUCCAGCCAUGCCGCGUGGGUGAUGAAGGCCCUAGGGUUGUAAAGCUCUUUUGUGCGGGAAGAUAAUGACGGUACCGCAAGAAUAAGCCCCGACUAACUUCGUGCCAGCAGCCGCAGUAAU